GUUUUAAAACCCUCAAAUAAAUCUGACUUGCAACAAUUCUUCAAAGAUGAGUGGGCCAAAAUUCCUCCACAGCGCUGUAAAAGACUCAUUGCAAGUUAUCACAAACGCUUGAUUGCAGUUGUUGCUGCUAAGGGUGGCCCAACCAGUUAUUAGGUUUAGGGGGCAAUCACCUUUUCGCACAGGGCCAUGUAGGUUUGGAUUUUGUUUCCCCUUAAUAAUAACCUUCAUUUAAAAACUGCAUUUUGUGUUUACUUGUGUUAUCUUUGACUAAUAUUUAAAUUUAUGAUCUGAAACAUUUAAGUGUGAUAAACAUGCAAAAAAAUAAGAAAUCA